rnacentral:rRNA from 1 species
UUUAUCCUACGGGGGGCAGCAGUGGGGAAUAUUGCACAAUGGGGGAAACCCUGAUGCAGCAACGCCGCGUGAUUGAAGAAGUAUUUCGGUAUAUAAAGCUCUAUCAGCAGGGAAGAAAAUGACGGUACCUGAGUAAGAAGCCCCGGCUAACUACGUGCCAGCAGCCGCGGUAAUACGUAGGGGGCAAGCGUUAUCCGGAUUUACUGGUUGUAAAGGUAGCGUAGACGGCGAUGCAAGUCUGAAGUGAAAGCCCGUGGCUCAACCCCGGUACUGCUUUGGACACUGUAUGUCUGUAGUGCUGGAGG